AACAGAGGGAGAAAUUUGGUGGUAAUGUAAUGUAUGAGUCUCAAAUAUACAUAAAUGUAAAAAGAUGGUCUCAGGUUUUGUGUGUCCUUUGAAGAGUCAAAGGACAGAAGCAGGGGACACAAAU